GCCCCUGUUGUCUAAUGGUUAUGACGUCAGACUUCUAUCCCAUAGCAUCGUAUCUGGAGGUUGCGGGUUCGAAUCCCGCCAGGGGUU